rnacentral:rRNA from 1 species
AAACCAACAGGGAUUGCCUUAGUAACGGCGAGUGAAGCGGCAAAAGCUCAAAUUUGAAAUCUGGCAUCUUCGGUGUCCGAGUUGUAAUUUGAAGAUUGAAGGUUCAUUGGGUCUUGUCUAUGUUCCUUGGAAUAGGACGUCACAGAGGGUGAGAAUCCCGUGCGAUGAGAUUCCGUAUUGUAACCUUCUUUCGACGAGUCGAGUUGUUUGGGAAUGCAGCUCUAAGUGGGUGGUAAAUUCCAUCUAAAGCUAAAUAUUGGCGAGAGACCGAUAGCGAACAAGUACAGUGAUGGAAAGAUGAAAAGAACUUUGAAAAGAGAGUGAAAAAGUACGUGAAAUUGUUGAAAGGGAAGGAUAUGAGAUCAGACUUGGUAUUUUGCAACCUUACUCUCGUGGUGGGGCCCCUGCAGUUUACUGGGCCAGCAUCAAUUUGGAUGAUGGGAUAAUGACUCAGGAAUGUAGCUCUAUUUUUUGUGGAGUGUUAUAGCCUGUGUUGAUACCGUCUAUCUAGAUUGAGGACUGCGUCUUUUGACAAGGAUGUUGGCAUAAUGAUCUUAUAUCAC